GACGAACGCUGGCGGCGUGCUUAACACAUGCAAGUCGAACGAAGUGGCGAACGGGUGAGUAACGCGUAAUCAACCUGCCCUUCAGAGGGGGACAACAGUUGGAAACGACUGCUAAUACCGCAUACUGAAGGAGGGGAUUGCGUCUGAUUAGCUAUGUGGAGGGGUAACGGCCCACCCAGGCGAUGAUCAGGAGCCGGGCUGCGAGGAGUGACGGCCACAAUGGGACUUAGGCACGGCCCAGACUCCGACGGGAGGCGGCAGGGGGGAAUCUUCCGCAAUGGACGAAAGUCUGACGGAGCAACGCCGCGUGAGUGAUGACGGCCUUCGGGUUGUAAAGCUCUGUUAAUCGGGACGCGGUACCGGAAUAGAAAGCCACGGCUAACUACGUGCCAGCAGCCGCGGUAAUAC
rnacentral:rRNA from 1 species